AGCUUUGCGCAGUGGCAGUAUCAUAGCCAAUGAGAUUUAUCCGAGGCGCGAUUAUUGCUCAUUGGAAACUUUUCCCAAUACCCCAUGAGGAUGACUUGAAAUAUAGUCGGCAUUGGCAAUUUCUGACUGUCUCUACAGAC
ensembl:snRNA U4 U4 spliceosomal RNA